rnacentral:lncRNA from 1 species
UUCAAUCGCAUAUAGUCAUACUUAAACAAUGCUGCCCUUAUGGAUAGCACAAUAAAGCAACACUAUUCAAAAUAUGCCAUAAGCAUCAAAAUGCACUUGGUCAACAUCAUAUCAAUUUUUAUACUAAGCCCUGUAGAUAGCAUAGCAAGCUUACUAAGAUCUUAAUAUACUCUAUCGAUCAAGUUUGAAGGAAGGCUCUUGUAGUGUCUCCAUCACUAAUCAAUCUAAGUCCGAAAUUUAAUAAGAUCAAAUUGGCCAGAUCAGUAGGUGGGAGGCUUUCCGUAGCUUUUCUUAGACAGCAACAAAGUUGGCC